AGUGAACGCUGGCGGUAGGCCUAACACAUGCAAGUCGAACGGCAGCACAGUAAGAGCUUGCUCUUACGGGUGGCGAGUGGCGGACGGUUGAGGAAUACAUCGGAAUCUACUUUUUCGUGGGGGAUAACGUAGGGAAACUUACGCUAAUACCGCAUACGACCUACGGGUGAAAGCAUGGGAUCUUCGGACCUUGCGCGAUUGAAUGAGCCGAUGUCGGAUUAGCUAGUUGGCGGGGUAAAGGCCCACCAAGGCGACGAUCCGUAGCUGGUCUGAGAGGAUGAUCAGCCACACUGGAACUGAGACACGGUCCAGACUCCUACGGGAGGCAGGAGUGGGGAAUAUUGGACAAUGGGCGCAAGCCUGAUCCAGCCAUACCGCGUGGGUGAAGAAGGCCUUCGGGUUGUAAAGCCCUUUUGUUGGGAAAGAAAAGCAGCAGGUUAAUACCCUGCUGUUCUGACGGUACCCAAAGAAUAAGCACCGGCUAACUUCGUG
rnacentral:rRNA from 1 species